UACUCACUACAGGACAGGAAGUAUAGCAACACUUCUGGGUACCUACAGCAAGCUGAGUGCCCCGUGCCUCACUGCGCGCUGUGCUGUGGACUGACGUCACCCGUCCGUGUUUUCCUCCGGUCCAACUGGUUGGGACGUGGACAUCUCCAGUUCGCUGCUGCUGCUGCUGCUCACCGCAGCACAGAAGACAGAAAGGAAAAGGAGCGAGCCUCCACGAGCACGGUUAUAACUCAAAUAACAGUGCGUCACCACCGGGCACACACUGGUUGAAUCAACGUUGCUUCUACAUCAUUUUCAAUUCAAUUACUUUGAGCCAACGUGGAGCUGGCUGGGAAUAUACGUUGAAUUGACGUCUGUGCCAAGUGGGUCCAUUCGUACAGAUUUCGUGACGCGGAAUGCGUGCGUAAAAUCAGACAGAGCCGACCUACACAACAGCCAAAAUGACACUUCGCCACUGCCUGUUUUACCUCUAAACAAACAUGCAUCCCGGACGACGUGCUUUCCUCUAUUCUUACGUGCAAUAA
rnacentral:lncRNA from 1 species